GACGAACGCUGGCGGCGUGCUUAACACAUGCAAGUGGAGCGACGAACCGGGCUUCGGCCCGGGGCAGAGCCGCGAACGGGUGAGUAACACGUGGGUAACGUGCCCCGAUGACUGGGACAACCCGGGGAAACCCGGGCUAAUACCAGAUGUGCCCUUCCAUCAUCAGAUGGUCUGGGAAAGGUAGCUUCGGCUUCCGCAUCGGGAUCGGCCCGCGGCCCAUUAGCUUGUUGGUGGGGUAAUGGCCUACCAAGGCUGCGAUGGGUAGCUGGUCUGAGAGGACGAUCAGCCACACUGGGACUGAGACACGGCCCAGACUCCUACGGGAGGCAGCAGUGGGGAAUCUUGCGCAAUGCGCGAAAGCGUGACGCAGCAACGCCGCGUGAGGGAAGACGGCCUUCGGGUUGUAAACCUCUUUCAGUUGGGACGAAGCUUCGUCGGUGAAUAGCCGGCCGGAGUGACGGUACCUUCAGAAGAAGCCCCGGCUAACUACGUGCCAGCAGCCGCAGUAAAAC
rnacentral:rRNA from 1 species